AACGAACGCUGGCGGCAGGCUUAACACAUGCCAGUCAAACGGAUCCUUCGGGAUUAGUGGCAGACGGGUGAGUAACGCGUGGGAACGUACCCUUUGCUACGGAAUAACUCAGGGAAACUUGAGCUAAUACCGUAUGUGCCCUACGGGGGAAAGAUUUAUCGGCAAAGGAUCGGCCCGCGUUGGAUUAGCUAGUUGGUGGGGUAAUGGCCUACCAAGGCGACGAUCCAUAGCUGGUCUGAGAGGAUGAUCAGCCACACUGGGACUGAGACACGGCCCAGACUCCUACGGGAGGCAGCAGUGGGGAAUAUUGGACAAUGGGCGCAAGCCUGAUCCAGCCAUGCCGCGUGAGUGAUGAAGGUCUUAGGAUUGUAAAGCUCUUCCACCGGUGAAGAUAAUGACGGUAGCCGGAGAAGAAGCCCCGGCUAACUUCGUG
rnacentral:rRNA from 1 species